rnacentral:rRNA from 1 species
GAGUUUGAUCCUGGCUCAGGAUGAACGCUGGCGGCGUGCCUAACACAUGCAAGUCGAGCGAAGCGCUGUUUUCAGAAUCUUCGGAGGAAGAGGACAGUGACUGAGCGGCGGACGGGUGAGUAACGCGUGGGUAACCUGCCUUGUACAGGGGGAUAACAGUCAGAAAUGACUGCUAAUACCGCAUAAGCGCACAGGACCGCAUGGUCCGGUGUGAAAAACUCCGGUGGUAUAAGAUGGACCCGCGUUGGAUUAGCUAGUUGGCAGGGUAACGGCCCACCAAGGCAACGAUCGGUAGCCGGACUGAGAGGUUGAACGGCCACAUUGGGACUGAGACGCGGCCCAGACCCCUACGGGAGGCAGCAGUGGGGAAUAUUGCACAAUGGGGGAAACCCUGAUGCAGCGACGCCGCGUGGAGGAAGAAGGUCUUCGGAUUGUAAACUCCUGUUGUUGGGGAAGAUAAUGACGGUACCCAACAAGGAAGUGACGGCUAACUACGUGCCAGCCGCCGCGGUAAUAC